UACAGAGGGUGCAAGCGUUAAUCGAAAUUACUGGGCGUAAAGAGUGUGUAGGUGGUGACAUAAGUCAGGUGUGAAAUAUCGUAGCUUAACUACGAGCGUGCGCUUGAUACUGUGUUGCUAGAGUUUAGGAGGGGAUAGUGGAAUUUCCGGUGUAGCGGUGAAAUGCGUAGAUAUCGGAAGGAACACCAGAGGCGAAGGCGGCUAUCUGGCCGAAGACUGACACUGAGACACGAAAGCGUGGGGAGCAAACAGG
rnacentral:rRNA from 1 species